UACGGUCAGUUUUGCUGGUUUGCUUCUGCUCAUUAUGCCUGCUGUGCAAAUCCAUGCAAAACUGACUGUGGC